rnacentral:rRNA from 1 species
UACAGAGGGUGCAAGCGUUAAUCGGAAUUACUGGGCGUAAAGGGCGCGUAGGCGGGUCAACAAGUUAGAUGUGAAAUCCCCGAGCUUAACUUGGGAACUGCAUUUAAGACUGUUGGUCUUGAGUAGAAUAGAGGUAAGUGGAAUUUCCGGUGUAGCGGUGAAAUGCGUAGAUAUCGGAAAGAACACCAGUGGCGAAGGCGACUUACUGGAUUCAUACUGACGCUGAGGCGCGAAAGCGUGGGGAGCAAACAGG